CUGCAGGAUGUUCAGGUGGAUGUAAGUCCCGCCCACUCACACCUGCAGCAGCACCUGAAACAACUGGAGAGCAAAAGAGCAGCGAUUUCAUCACGCAGAGCUUACCUGAGGAACCAGCGGGAGUUGUGUGUUCAGGCUCACGAGCAGCAGCAGCGUUCAGUCGUGCAGAGAUCUAAGCAGCACCGCCAACUCCACUCUGCACAGCUGAGAGCGAGAGAGAGAGAGAGAGAGAGAG